AUGCGAGAUUUUCCUUUGGCAGCAGGACGCACGCCCCCGGAGAAUGCUGGAGCUGCAAGGGGAAAGGACCCACUUCCACAGCAGAGAAAAACAAAGAGGAAAAAGACAUACAGGCAGCCAGCGCUAAGGGACGCACCCAGCAAGCAGUGGGCCAGUGCCACUGCCCCUAGCAGCCCUUUCUGCUGCAGCCCGAGAGGAGCUCGGUGA